rnacentral:rRNA from 1 species
CCUACGGGUGGCAGCAGUGGGGAAUAUUGCACAAUGGGCGAAACCCUGAUCCAGCCACGCCGCGUGCGUGAAGACGGCAUUAGUUAUGUUAAGCUCUUUCAGCAGGGAAGAAAAUGACGGUACCUGUGUAAGAAGCCCCGGCUAACUACGUGCCAGCAGCCCCGGUAAUACGUAGGGGGCAAGCGUUAUCCGGAUGUACUGGGUGUAAAGGGAGCGUAGACGGCAGUGCAAGUCUGGGGUGAAAGGCGGGGGCUCAACCUCCGGACUGCUCUGGAAACUGUACGGCUGGAGUGCAGGAGAGGUAAGUGGAAUUCCUAGUGUAGCGGUGAAAUGCGUAGAUAUUAGGAGGAACACCAGUUGCGAAGGCGGCUUACUGGACUGUAACUGACGUUGAGGCUCGAAAGCGUGGGGAGCAAACAGGAUUAGAUACCCCUGUAGUC